rnacentral:rRNA from 1 species
UGGGGAAUUGUUCGCAAUGGGCGCAAGCCUGACGACGCAACGCCGCGUGGAGGAUGAAGGUCUUCGGAUUGUAAACUCCUGUUGAUGGGGACGAAUGGGUCCCGGCUCAAUACGCCGGGGCAAUGACGGUACCCGUUGAGGAAGCCACGGCUAACUCUGUGCCAGCGGCCGCGGUAAUACAGAGGUGGCAAGCGUUGUUCGGAAUUACUGGGCGUAAAGGGCGCGUAGGUGGUCUUGUCAGUCAGACGUGAAAUCCCCAGGCUCAACUUGGGAACUGCGUCUGAUACUACGAGACUUGAGUUCGGGAGAGGGAUGUGGAAUUCCAGGUGUAGCGGUGAAAUGCGUAGAUAUCUGGAGGAACACCGGUGGCGAAGGCGGCAUCCUGGACCGAAACUGACACUGAGGCGCGAAAGCCAGGGGAGCAAACGGGAUUAGAUACCCCCGGUAGUCCUGGCCCUAAACGAUGAGUGCUUGG